rnacentral:lncRNA from 1 species
AAACCAAUUCAAGUAUAAUGUGACAAUGAACUGGUGAAGACUAUAAAUAAGUUUUAUAAGUUUCAGUUAAGCAAAUAUUUAGUUUUUAAAUGUGGAAAAUGAGGAUAGUAAUUCACAUAAUUUAGAGUUAAAAUGAAGGCUAUCGUUUGACAUGAACCAAAUAAGCAGAUUACUAUCGGAUAUUUGGGAUAAAUAUGGGGUUUUAGCAAUUUGAGUUAUUGCCAUAUCACUUUGUGUCCUUCUACGUCCGUUAACUGCUAAUUUUCAUUUCAACUGUGAAACUGCUCGUUCUAUAUGUUUUAAUCAAACUUGACAAGAAUGAUGUACAUACUUUGUAAUCUAUAGAAGCAAUGUUGAAAAAGAGCAUAGUGUGUACUAAUAAUCUUAAAUCGUGUGGUAUAUA